rnacentral:rRNA from 1 species
GAUGAACGCUGGCGGCGUGCCUAAUACAUGCAAGUCGAGCGAACGGACGAGAAGCUUGCUUCUCUGAUGUUAGCGGCGGACGGGUGAGUAACACGUGGAUAACCUACCUAUAAGACUGGGAUAACUUCGGGAAACCGGAGCUAAUACCGGAUAAUAUUUUGAACCGCAUGGUUCAAAAGUGAAAGACGGUCUUGCUGUCACUUAUAGAUGGAUCCGCGCUGCAUUAGCUAGUUGGUAAGGUAACGGCUUACCAAGGCAACGAUGCAUAGCCGACCUGAGAGGGGACCCGCCCAACCGGGACUGAGAAAAGGGCCCGACCCCUAAGGGGGGGAGCAGGGGGGAAUUUUUGACAAAGGGGGAAAGCCUGAACGAGCAAAGCCGCGUGGAGGAUGAAGGCCUUUGGGUUGUAAAAACCUUUUUUUUGGGAAAAAAAAAAUGUGGAAAAAACCUGGCACACUUGACGGGACCCUAAGAAAAAGCCCCGGCUAAAUACGGG